rnacentral:rRNA from 1 species
GCCCGGGNUUACCUGGAACUGCAUUGAACUGUCAAUAGAGUAUGUAGAGAAAGNGGAANUUCUGGUGUAGCGUGAAUGNUAGANAUCAGANGNACAUCAAUGCGAAGGCAGCUUUCUGACCAAUANGACNCUGAGGUUCGAAAGCGUGGNUAGCAAACAGGNUUAGAUACCCUGGUANUCCACGCCGUAAACGAUNAUAAUAGCCGUUGGGGGGAUUUACCCNCUUUAGUGGNGAAGCUAACGCGUUAAGUUAUCCGCCUGGGGAGUACGGCCGCAAGGUUAAAACUCAAAGGAAUUGACGGGGACCCGCACAAGCGGUGGAGCAUGUGGUUUANUUCGAUGCAACGCGAAGAACCUUACCUGGUCUUGACAUCCUGCGAACUUUCUAGAAAUAGAUUGGUGCCUUCGGGAACGCAGUGACAGGUGCUGCAUGGCUGUCGUCAGCUCGUGUCGUGAGAUGUUAGGUUAAGUCCCGUAACGAGCGCAACCCCUAUCCUUAUUUGCCAGCACAUCAUGGUGGGAACUAUAAGGAGACUGCCGGUGAUAAACCGGANGAAGGCGGGGACGACGUCAAGUCAUCAUGGCCCUUACGACCAGGNCUACACACGUGCUACAAUGGGAAGGACAAAGAGCCGUGAAGCCGNGAGGUGUAGCUAAUCUCAUAAACCUNUUCGUAGUCCGGAUUGGAGUCUGCAACUCGACUCCAUGAAGUCGGAAUCGCUAGUAAUCGUAGAUCAGAAUGCUACGGUGAAUACGUUCCCGNGUCUUGUACACACCGCCCGUCAUNCCA